UUAUGGCUCAGGACGAACGCUGGCGGCGUGCCUAACACAUGCAAGUCGAGCGAGGAGAUCCUUCGGGAUGAUCCUAGCGGCGGACGGGUGAGUAACACGUGGGCAACCUGCCUCAUAGAGAGGAAUAGCCUUCCGAAAGGGAGAUUAAUACCUCAUAACAUUGCAGUUUCGCAUGGAACAGCAAUUAAAGGAGUAAUCCGCUAUGAGAUGGGCCCGCGGCGCAUUAGCUAGUUGGUGAGGUAACGGCUCACCAAGGCGACGAUGCGUAGCCGACCUGAGAGGGUGAUCGGCCACAUUGGGACUGAGACACGGCCCAGACUCCUACGGGAGGCAGCAGUGGGGAAUAUUGCACAAUGGGGGAAACCCUGAUGCAAGCAACGCCGCGUGAGUGAUGACGGCCUUCGGGUUGUAAAGCUCUGUCUUCAGGGACGAUAAUGACGGUACCUGAGGAGGAAGCCACGGCUAACUACGUGCCAGCAGCCGC
rnacentral:rRNA from 1 species